GCCAGCAUGGCAUAAUGGUUUGAGUGUGAGAUUAUGACUCUGGAGAUCUGGGUUCGAUUGCCUGCUCGGCC